rnacentral:rRNA from 1 species
UACAGAGGUCCCGAGCGUUGUUCAGAUUCAUUGGGCGUAAAGGGUGCGUAGGCGGCUUCCUAAGUUUGAUGUGAAAUCCUGGGGCUCAACCCUGGAACUGCAUUGAAUACUGGGAGGCUAGAGUACUGGAGAGGAAACUGGAAUUUACGGUGUAGCAGUGAAAUGCGUAGAGAUCGUAAGGAAGACCAGUGGCGAAGGCGAGUUUCUGGACAGUUACUGACGCUGAGGCACGAAGGCCAGGGGAGCAAACGGG